GGAAAAUCACCAUCGCAGCAGGUGGAGCAUUUCAUUGUCUUCAAGAAGUUCAAAUUUCAAGAGCAGGGUUUGCCAACCCUUAGCAAAAAUUUAAAAAAGAUGAGAAAUUGAAGUUCAAGUCCAUUGUUGGGAAUGAAUGCCAUGUUUUGUUUCAGUGACCGCAGCAGUAAUUUUUCAGUCAGUAGUGUGUGAGCUGCAUGAGGUGUGAUGCAGUUUGGAAGUAUUCCAUCAUUUGACAGGUGUAUUUGGCAUGUGGCGAAAGUGUUGUUAAUAACAGCUGCUUCUCUGUGUGUACUUCGUAACACCAUGAAGUGUUGGCCAUUGCUUUAAUCUGUACUUAAGCAAAUUGUUCAUCCUGUGCUUCAAGAAAAUACGCUGUAUUGAAUUUGGGUAAUUCUUAUGCAGGAAUCCACAGCAGCGAAGGAAUCUCUUAGGAGUGAAGGGCUGCUGGAGGAUGCCUUAUGGAAAUGCUUGAGCUCAGAUGUAUUUAUACAAGAAGUGUGAUUGCAGAUCUCUGGGCCAGGCUGUCUGUUGACAUGUAUCAGUACAGGUUCACCGUCUAAUUGUGCUGACUAGCAUGAGGGAGAAAGAGCCUAUUGUUUAAGCACAAGGACAGCUGUGUUUAAAACCAGUUUUAUUCACCGAGUCUUACGCAUUGUCACUGGUACCGUGUCCUCCGACCACAGAAAAGCAGCAGUUGCAUGGCCACAGACUGAUAAUCUGUGGCUAAUUUUAAAAAGUCUAGACAAAAAAUUAGUGCACGCUGGCAAUUCUGUGGCCGGCAGGUAAGGGUGGCCAUCAGGGAUUUGAAAGCAUCUUUAAUAAUGAGGCAGAAAUGCAUUCUUAAAUAACAAUUCAGAGAAUUCAGAAAAUAUUCCCAAGUGCUUUGCAGGAUCAGCCAUGUUUUAUCAUCAAAUCAUCAGAUCAUCAAAAACCAAUUAAGUCAACAACCUGCAUGCCAAUGCUUAGUGCUGGAUGUCCUUGUUCAGACAGCAUGUGUUGCCUUGAACCCUCUUGGCUUUGUUGAAUCCACUCUCCAAUUGAAAGCUAUUUUAUAUUUGCUGGAAGAAAACCUCAUGUAAUGUGUGGGUUUGUUUAUCUUGCUGGAAGUUAGACAUGUUGAGCUUCACUUACGAAUUUCUCACCUUCCUUCUCAGUCAUCUUGCCUCUCCUCCCUUUCCUCGCACAGCUUACGACUUGACUGACAUCAAUUCCAAACUUCCCACUCAUUUUCAGUGGGAUGGGAGCGGUACCAGACCAUCCUGAGCUACUUCACACCUCUGAAAAAUACGCAAAGAGCAUCCUUUAUUUCAUAACACUUUUAACAGCAAUGUUUCCUGGACAUGGUUGGACAUCAGCUGCAGCUUCUGCAGAGAGAGAAACACAGGGCAAUGGGGUCUGCCAGCGAUGCCAGCAAAGCAGCGGAGCCUUCCCUCCAGCCUGGCUUUCUGUAGAAGUGCCAGAGAGCACCAGUGCCAGGAACCCAGCAGUUCUUUGAAAUACAAUCAGCUACUUCCUUCUCCCAGCAGUUUGUGAUUGAGAAAAGCUUCACAGUUGAAGAGGAUUUGGCCUGCAUUAUUUUUAAUGCAUGACUUGUGACAGCGACUAAUGUGGAAGUAGCAUGCUGACUGUCCUUAAAACAGAACUUCAGUGCUGCCUAUUAGACCUACACUGUUGGUGUUAAUCCAUACUAAGCCUUAACUUGCAGAAUAAAUCUUGACACAUUUCUGAAUUUCUUUCUUGGAGGAAAAAAAAGGAAAGUUCCCAAACAUUUAAAUUUUAUUUUUCUGUAAUUACUGAGGAAAUCCUCAGCUCAAAUAAGGCAUCAGGAGAAUGAGAGCACCAUGGCAAUUACACUGGCAGACUCCAUCAGAAUGUAUUGAACUGGGCUUCCAGGUGAAGAACACAAACGGACCCCAUAAACACCAUUGCAGGAAACUGCACCAGCAAGUCAUGUGUCAGUAACAGCUAAGCCCUUCCAUACAAGUCAGGUCUCUUAGUCUGCAGAUCUUGUCAGGCAGUAACAUGUUUUUUGAUUUCUAUGUCUUUCAUCAUCUGUUUGAAAUCUAACCUGGUGGCUUUGCUGUGUCAGGUGAGCAGAUUCUCUGUGGUAUUGAGUUGUUAGGGUCUCAGGUUGAAAAUGUUUUAAAAACUGCAACUGGGAGUGUAGUAGUGACGUGGCUGAACACCAGCAGCCCGGACAUGAGUACCAAAUGCUGAUGAAUGCACAAGGGAUCCUCCUUCAGGUGUGGGCUGGCUGCAGCGGUGCUGGACACUUGGGAGUAUAGCCUCAGCCAUGUCCCUGAAACAGCGCUGGUGGUGGUGGUGGUAGCAUAUGGAGCCCUUGGGGGCGUGUUGUGCAGCUGAUGCAAAGACAUUUUUAUUCUGGUAUUAUUGCUACUGAGCAUUGAUUUGACCAGGGAGCAUUAGAUCAGGAAGGAUGCCACUGACUUGCAUUGCUAAAUGUGUCUCUAGAUGAUCUCACCCACGUGAACCUUAAAAAAACAAAACUGGCAUGCAGACAAGCCCAUAGGAAAAGCCAGCAUUUCCGUGCAUCAGAUCCUGCUUAUGCCACUCGUGUUUCUAUGGUGAAGACAGGUUAGCAAGCUGUUAAAAUAGCUGUUCACUUCAGAAAUGGUAAACAGAUGGAUUUCCACGGCCAGUCGUAGGUGAGUGGCAGCCUGGUGGCAGCUGCGGCUGUUUGUUUCCUUCACUUUUUGGAAGUUGGUUGCUGUUGGUGUCAUACCACCAAUCAUCUUCACGGUAAUGCUGGUAUUUCCUAAUGAUGUCUCACCUCAGUGUUUGUGAGUACCUGUUUACAAUGUCCCAGGGUCCUAGUUUGACUUUCUUUCUUUUUCUUUUGAAACAGCGUCAUAUAUUCUCAGGUUAAUUAAUUUUUAGUGCUGCUUGUAGCAAGUUUAAAAGCCGCUGCUCUUGGAAUGGCCAUCCCCUGCAAGCUUUAGGCAAGAACCUGACUAGCUUGUCCAUGUUGGGUUUUCUUUCUCUUGCUCAUGAUCAACUUCAUAGCAGUUUGGCCAACAUUUUUCAAGAUCCCAAAAUGUGGGGCAAAUGCUGUCCAUGGCAGCUUUUGAAAUUGCAUGGUGGCCAUUGUGGUGUGCUCUUCUUGGUGUGCCAUUCCCCAGGUGUUUCUUGUGAAAGUAGAGAGGCUCAUAAUAGCUUGUCGGGAAGAUAUAAAUUGACUCUUGAGAGGACACAUGCUUGUGUGUGCUGUGGGCUAAACAGGAAGCCAAGGUAGAAACAAAGCAUCCUGCCAAGAUGUCCAACACAUCCUUUGUUGAGGCAAGACAAUAUCUUGGUAGUAUUUACCUAGCACGGAGUCACAGGGACUUGGAGGCAUCAUCUGGAGUGCUUCUCUAUCCCAGGACAGGUUAAGCUGUGCCUGUCUGAAAGAUGGUUGUAGAAUCCACCCUUACUUCCACAGUGCCCAUAUACAUAAUUUUAAGAGAUAGAUAGGUAAAAAAAGAUUGCGUCUUCAGAAGAUACUAGAUCAAUAUGAUGUUUUUGUUAAUAUGGCAUUAAAAAUAACGAUUAGAUAAGAUCUGAGGUGAGAUUUUGUACAGAGUGCCAGCCCGGUGUGUUUGCUAGCCACGGGACUCCCACAUGCCUUCAAAAACCUCUUCUGAAUGGUUUGUCAGGUUGCCCGUUAAUAGCCAUACCAGAGAGGUUCAAAGCAACCUUUCUCCCAGCGCUGUGUUUUCUAUCCAGCCGUUGCCUUCAAUCUGUUUUUACGGAGUUUGGACAGUAAAAACAAAACGAAAACAAACCUGUCAGCUUUUUCCUCAGCACCCUUGUGUGGAUGCUACAAAUCAGUCCUUAAAGCCAUACUACUGCGAGGUGGAACCCAAACAAGGAAAACACCCAUCUCCCACAGCAGUGCUAGCGUUCAGCCGUGCUGUGAUGUUGGUGAAUGCCGGAACGUGCCCACAGCUUCGGGCCAUCCUCUCAUGUCCACCGCCAGGCCGAGCAGCGGGCAUUUUGCUGGGCCUUCAGUGGGGUCCCAGCAAACAGCCUUCUGUCCAGCCUUGAGUCCUACCCAGCCUCUCAAUGGGAUGCCCCUUCCACACCAGUACCCCAAGUGCCCAUGGCCGGUGGAUGAAGGCCGUGCCUGCAUGCGGCCUGCUUUCUGAUCUGCCCGGGCCUAGCUUCCCCGCUUUUCAUCCACACAGCCCAGAGCAGGAAAGCCAUCACAGCACCACAGCCUUCCGCAGCGCCUCGUCUGCUCUGUGCUGCCAGUGCUAUCACUGGCCCUACCAUCCCAAGGAGAAAGGGCAGCAAGAAGCAGGUCCUGCUGGAGGCAUGACGUGACCAUCAGGUGCUGCCCCUUGGCCACGCUGUGUACAGUGGGACAGAGCCAGGCACUGACAUCCAGGCCAAGAAGGAAGAAAGUCAGAGGCUGGGUGCUGCAUCCAAGGGCUACGUUAAGUGAAACCAUGGGAGGGUGCAGACCGGAGGACCACUAAAACUGAGCUCCUUGUUCACUUGCUCCAGGUUGUGUCUGGCCCUGAUACAGGCAUGCAUGUUGCGAGGAGUAUGUGUGGGUGCAGGACCCAAGGCUACUUGACUGCAGCAAAAGCCUUUGAAAAGAUUCAGUGUGGGUGCCCACAGGCCAUGGGCUGACAUUUGAAGGGCAAUAUUUCCACAGACACCUCGCUGCAGUAGCUGACAGCAUCAGCACAUUAGGAGGAAAUGAUGUGUGUAGAAGGAAUUGGCUGAUUUUCCCAGCCCUGGCAGGGACGGGACUGUGGUGCGCCGAGAAUCUUUGGCUCCCAGUUUCACAUGUGAACUAUUAAAUAUGGUGGGUGCCCAGUCAAGCUUUCUUAGAGUUGCAAAGUGUGCACCAUGUCAGCAGUCUUUGGCUUUCACUAUCAACGUAAUCCUCAGCGAUGCCUGGAGAGGUCUGUCUCUCUGGCUGCAAUAGCCUUGUAAUCCCUCAUCCUUCUAUGGGUUUCCUGACACUGCUCUGCAGCUCCACCAGGGUAAGCAAACUGGGAUGCAGCAGGGUCAAAAGUGACAGCUAAGGCUGUUGAUGGCAGGAGAUCAACUUGGGCACUGCUAUUCACCUUUCUCCUCAGCAGUCAAAGAACCAGCAACAGCUAGUGAAGGUGAAGCUUCAGUUGGUAUUACACCCCAUGUAAGCAAUUCUCUUUCAAAAUCUGCCUGUUUUUUCCCUUUCCAGCGCAGCAGGGUGCUGCUUGCAUUUUCCCUGCUGCUGAGUGUGAGUCCCAUAGAGCUGAACAGAAGUUGCAGCACUGACAGCAAGCACCGACCCUGCAGUUGCUUGUUGAGGUACCAGAUCUCCCUUCCCUGAUGCUGACGCAACCAUCUGCCUUACGCCAAGCACAGAGGAAGGUCCGGCGGCAUGAAUAAGACACGGCGAUGCUCUGUGAUGAUGCGGGAACGGGGAGAAUCGAGUUUUCAGCAGGCCCCCUCAUAGUGGGUUUACCUGCGUAGGCAGAAGAGCGUAA
ensembl:lncRNA